UUUAUUAAAUUUUGGAUCAUGUGUCAGUCUUGUGAAAAAAUACCAGCAUCCAGCUGGGCAAAAUUCUAUUCAAUAUGGUGUAUUCUAACUGGUACCUUUGGUGUGGGUUACGCGAUGUAUUUUAUAAUUGAUAUUACCAAUUAUAUAAAUAUGUUAAUGAAUUUAGUCAGCUAUACAACUACUUCAAUGGAUUCAGAAAAAUAUAAAAAUGUGUUGUUGUUUGCCUGGGUUGAUGUCUCUUUUAUAAUGAUUUUUUCCAUACUGUAUAUUUUGGCAGGGGUUUCUAUGCUGCUGGGAAUGAGAAUAAUGCUUUUUAAAUUUGGAAAAGUCCUAAGCUAUUUCUUUGCAAUAUACACCUGGCUGUUUAUCAUAACGACAGUUGUACAUUGCGUCUGCGCAGUGAAAUUAUGCAGAUAUGUAAGGGAAACCUGGCCCAAAAGG